rnacentral:rRNA from 1 species
UACGUAGGGGGCGAGCGUUGUCCGGAAUUAUUGGGCGUAAAGAGCGUGUAGGCGGUUCGGUAAGUCUGCCGUGAAAACCUGGGGCUCAACCCUGGGCGUGCGGUGGAUACUGCCGGGCUAGAGGGUGGUAGAGGCGAGUGGAAUUCCCGGUGUAGCGGUGAAAUGCGCAGAUAUCGGGAGGAACACCAGUGGCGAAGGCGGUUGCCUGGGGCUUUGCUGACGCUGAUGCGCGAAAGCGUGGGGAGCGAUCCGG